rnacentral:rRNA from 15 species
CGACCUGCACGAAUGGCGUAACGAUGGCCACACUGUCUCCUCCCGAGACUCAGCGAAGUUGAAAUGUUUGUGAUGAUGCAAUCUACCCGCGGCUAGACGGAAAGACCCCAUGAACCUUUACUGCAACUUGACAGUGAAGCUCGGAGCAGUCUGCGUAGGAUAGGUGGGAGGCAUUGAAGCGGGCCUUGCGGGGCUCGUGGAGCCAACCUUGAAAUACCA